GGCAACUCCAGAGCCCCCUGUUGGAAAUAUGCCUUAGAGGCAAUAAAAAAUAGUUAUUAUUAUAUUUCCUUUUUCAAGAUAAUCGUUUAUUUACUAUGCUAAAAUUGUAUUGAAUGGAAAGUCAGAUACAUGUGUGGAUACAUAGAGAGCACACUAAUUCUAGUAAGCCUCUAGUUCACUAGCUCGUUGAUCGAAGAUGGUUAAGGUUUCCUAGCCAUAGACAAGUGUUGUCACUUGAUAAUGGGAUCACAACAUUAGGAGAAUGAUGUGAUGGACAAGACCCAAACUAUGAACGUAGCAUGUGAUCGUGUUAUUUUAUUUCUACAGUUUUCUACAUGUCAAGUAUGUAUUCCUAUGACCAUGAGAUCAUGUAACUCACUGACACCAGAGGAAUGCCUGGCGUGUAUCAAACGUCGCAACGUAACUGGGUGACUAUAAAGGUUCUCUACAGGUAUCACCGAAUGUCUCCGUUGAGUUAGCAUGGAUCAAGACUGGGAUUUGUCUCUCCGUAAGAUGGAUAGGUAUCUUUGGGUCCACUUGGUAAUACAAAAUCACAAUGAUGCUUGCAAGAAAUGUGACUAAAGUGUUAUCCACGAGAAUUUAUAUUACGGAACGAGUAAAGAGACUUGCCGGUAACGAGAUUCAAAUAGUUAUAGAGAUACCGACGAUCGAAUCUCGGGCAAGUAAUAUACCGAAGGACAAAGGGACUGUUAUACGGGAUUAAAUGAAUCCUUGACAUAGAGGUUCAACCAAUAAAGAUCUUAGUAGAGUAUGUACGAGCCAAUAUGGACAUCCAGGUCCCGCUAUUGUUUAUUGAACGGAGAGUGUCUCAGGUCAUGUCUACAUAGUUCUCGACCCCGUAGGGUCUAUGCACUUAAGGUUCAUUGACGUUUCGGUAUUAUUAAUGUUCUUGGAUGAGAUCUUGGACAUCACUAGGAGCUCCGGAAUGGUAUGUAGGUAAAGAUUGAUAUAUAGGAAGUCCCAUUUUGGUCACUGGUAAAGUUUUGGGUAUUUUUGGUGGUGUACUCGGAAUGUCGAGAGGGCCAUCGGGAGGGGUCAGCCAUGCGAGGAAGCCAUAUGGGCCUUAGGGGUGGCACACCAGCCCUUAGUGGGCUGGCCGAGCUAGCCCCAAGGGGCCCAUGCGGCCAAGAAGUGGGGGAAGGAAAAAACCCAAAGGAGGGGAGGUUUCCAAGUACGACAGGAAUCCUAAUUGGAGUAGGAUUGGAGGUGGACUCUUCCACCUUCUCCUAUUCGGCCGAACCUAGGGAGGGCCUUUUGUCUGCCUCCUCCCCUCUCUCCCUCCUGUAUAUACUAGAGGAUUUGAGGGCAGCCCUAACCCUAAUAAGCCACGUGCAGCCCUCUCUCUCUAGGUCAUUUUAUGCUCUAGAUUAGUUCAGGAGAGCUAGGCGAAGCCCUGUUGGAUUAGUUCACCACCACCACCACCACGCCAUCCUGCUGGAUAAUUCAUCUACCUCUUCGUCCCUCUUGUUGGAUCAAGAAGGUGGAGAUCGUCAUCGAGUUGUACAUGUGUUGAAUGCGGAGGUGUGCACUAGAUCGGGAAGAAUCAUGAUGCGAUCGCGGGACGGAUCGUGAUGGAUCAUGGCAUGGAUCAUGAUUGGAUCGUGAAUAUGUACGACUACAUCAACGUCGUUAAAUACGCUUCUGCUUAGCGAUCUAGAAGGGUUUGGACAUGCACUCUCCCCUAUCAUAGAUGGUCAUCACCAUGGAUAGAUCUUGUGAGUGCAUAGGAAAUUUUCUGUUUCCCAUGCAACGUUCCCCAAUAGUGGGAUUGUGGGCUAAGUCUAUGCGUUGAUGACAUAUCGAGUACUCCCUCCGUUCCUAAAUAUAAGUCUUUUAAGCGAUUUCAUUAAGGGACUAAAUACAGAGGAAAAUGAGUGAAUCUGCACUUUAAAGUAUGUCUAUAUACAUCCAUCCAUACGGAGGGAGUAGAACACAAAGGAGUUUGUGGGCGUUGAUAUUCAGAUUGCUGCCCUCCUGUCACGCCCAAGAUGCGACCCUAUCCUCAAUUUGGCACGAAGACCUUGUCAGGGAUAGAAGCUCAUCUCGUCGUGUCGCAAGAAUGGAUAUCGUUACAAGUACAUGUACUGAAAAGAUGAUAUAUAUAUAUAUAUAUAUAUAUAUAUAUAUAGAAUUGGCUUACACUCGCCACAAGCUACAUCAGAGUCACAACAGUACAAUACAUAAUCAUCAAGAAUAAGAGCAGGGUACGACUACGGACGGAAACAAACGAGAAAAGAAGAACGACGUCCAUCCUUGCUAUCCCAGGCUACCGGCCUGGAACCCAUCCUAGAUCGAUGAAGAAGAAGAAGAAGAACCAACUCCAAAUUAACAAUCAACGCGCUCGCGUCAAGUAACCUUUACCUGUACCUGCAACUAGUGUUGUAGUAAUCUGUGAGCCACAGGGGACUCAGCAAUUUCAUUUCCAAAGUUAUCAAGACUAGCAAAGCUUAAUGGGUGAGGUAUGGUUAAGUGGUGAGGUUGCAGCAGCGACUAAGCAUAUAUUUGGUGGCUAAACUUAUGAGUACAAGAAAUAAGAGGGGGACGAUCUACGCAUAACGGACGUGACUACUGAUGAUCAAAUGAAUGAUCCUGAACACCUACCGACAUCAGACAUAACCCCACCGUGUCCUCGAUCGGAGAAGGAACUCACGAAAGAGACAGUCACGGUUACUCACACAGUUGGCAAGUUUUAAUUAAGUUAACUUCAAGUUAUCUAGAACCAGUGUUAAACAAAGUUUCCACGUUGCCACAUAACUGUGGGCACGGCUUCCCGAAAGAUUUAACCCUGCAGGGGUGCUCCAACUAGUCCAUCACAAAUUACCACAAGCCGCAUAGAAAUCCUCGAUCACGAAGCUCGGGAUCUCGUCGGAUUCCUUAGUGGAACACCUCAACUCUGAGAUUACCCAAAGCAUCACCGGAAUCCCAAUGCACAAGAUAUCUCGUCAAAGGUAAAACUAAUCCAGCAAGGCCGCCCGACGUGUCGACGAUCCUGAUAGGAGCUGCGUAUCUCGUUCUCAGGACACGACGGAUAAGCACAGCGUACGGUGGCCCGAUAGAAAUCUCCCAAGUUGCCCCGGGUUGGCCCCACAAACGGCUCUAGUUUUGGACCAGCAUUAUCAGCACUAGCCCCCUAUAUUAUGUAGAAUUACUCCUCGGGUAGCGCUAACUCCCUAUGCAUUUCAGUUUAACAGAAUUAUUAUGUUGGGCAAAUAGUACCAAUGUUGGGCCUUCCCAGACCAGCUUUAAUCUAAAACAAAUUAUCAAGGGGGUCUGCAUAACAACCCCGGUCGUGUUAGGAGCGCUCAAUUAUGGAACAUAACACCGGUAGCCGAAACUAAGGGGGCAAAGGUGGAACAAAACACCAGGCUAGAAAGGCCGAGCCUUCCACCUUUUACCAAGUAUAUAAGCGCAUUAAGUUAAAUAGCAUUUAGUAUGGUUAUAUGACAAGGGACCCAUGUUAUCACAUGGAAGCAACUGCACCUGCAACUAGCAACGCUAACACAGGGUUAAGCAAGCGGUAACAUAGCCAAUCAGUGGUUUGCUAGGUUGAACAGGUUGAAGGUUUUCAUGGCACUGUUGAGAGCCUGAUAAUUAACAUGUGGUAGGCAACGAGACAUAAUCGAUAGAAGCGAUAAAACUAGCAUGACAAUGAUAGUAAUGGUAUCUGGGGAAAUGGUCAUCUUGCCUGAGAUCUCGGUUGGAAGAAGAAUGCCUCCGUGAAGAAGACGAACCGAUAUAGUCGAACGGGUCCUCACAAUCCGACACGCUUGCGGAACUCUAACGAGACGAAGCAUACCGGAAACAAGAAUCAACACACGAUAUUCACCACACGGUGCACAAUACAUAUGAUGCAUGAGCAGGUGAAUAGAUGCAAGACACGGCAUGACAAUUCACACAAGCAAACACUACACAUUAAGUGAAGUUCAAUAUGCAACGAGUUGCAUAUUGACGAAACUCCACGUUUAUUUAUUUAGUUCUAUCUCGAUUAGAUACACGGCAAUAUUAAAUGUGGUUAAACAUGGCAAGCGGUGAAGCAUAAUUAAAAUACCUAUCUAGGCAUUUUAAAUGAGGUCGGAAAUGACAUAUAGCACCUCCGAGACGACCUCACAUGUUAAUUUACAAUUCUGUCCAGAUCUGAACUAACACAUUUAAUUAGUUGUUAAACAGCAAAACAAAUAGGUUCACGUGAUUCUACGCCUCGUUACAAGCAACCUACACAUAGAGAACUUCUCCAACGGAGCUACGGUUCAAAAGAUACAAGCACCGCAAGAUAUGAUGGCAUGAAUGCAAUAUGUGUGCAACGACGGUCACGAGCAUUUCAAAACAUACAACAAACAAGAGAAAAUGAAACUACACGAGAUUCUAAGCAAGUUUCAUAUAGGACACGACCAAAUCGGAGCUACGGUUCGACAACUACGAGCAAAAAAGGAAAUCACUACAAUCUGCCAAAAUCAGCCAGAUAGCAUUUUCUACAUCCCACAACUACGAGCUACACAACUCCAAUCUACUCAACCAAGGCCUGACACGAUAGAGGGCAAGAAGCACUAAAACAAACAACUAACAACAAAUAGCAUGGCAUCAUGGAUCACUAGGGAAAGAAGUCACAAAAUGGCAUCUCACACACUAUUUCAGAGUUAGUGAAAAUAACACUUCAUGAAAGUGCAGUUUUCGGUCUGAAGGCAUAUUGACAGCAGCAAAACGAUAAGCUACAUGACUCCAAAUGGCAUGAAAAUUCAUAGCAUGCUAGAGAAUCACAAGGUCUACAACAUACUCCAUUGCACCAACCUCAAAAGAGCUACAGAUCACAAGAUACAAGCAAGACAAGACAGCAACAAAAUAUAACAGAUCUCAGACUUCAAAAUAUUUUAGCUCCUCCAAAUUAGCACUAUUUAUAGCAACUUGACAGCAAGCAAACCACACCUAAACAUCCAUUUAUAUUGCAACUAAAAAUACCAGGGGCUAGACUAAACAUCAAAGAACAACUCCCUAGUUGACAACUUAAUCAAACGAAGCACGGAAUAAAUUCUACGAAAUAGACAAGAGGGCAACAUGGCAAAAUAUCGCGCGAACUAACUUGCUCAAAAGCUAAAACUAGUUGCACAGAAAAAUCCUAUGGAUUUUUCUAACCCGAAAACAUAUAAAAUAUGUGGGCUGGACAACAAAAAUAUUGCCACACGUAAACGCAAGAUAAUAACCUAUACACGGAAAAAUAAACUAGCGGCAAUCCCUACACGCAAAAAUACCGACAUCUACUCUAAAAUACAUGGAAAAGGUGUUCCUAAAACAUGGACAUUUCUACUACGGCAUUCGGGCAAACCGGACACGCACGAGAAAAUAAACGAGACGAAACCUUUUGGAACAGCACGAGUUUCUAGUCAUGCGGCAUGCUAAACGACGUCAAACAAUUAUGCAAGUUGCAAAAACGGAUUGUACACGAAAUUCUACACCAAAACCAUAUAUUACACAUCUCGAUCCGACUAACGGUUAAAAAGUUACGGGGAAAAGAAUAUUCGCUUAUUUUCUGGAAUUAUAAUAAUUCCAAAAAUCAUCUAUAUUAUCUAACGGGCCGAAUUUACCUAAUUGGGCCUACAGUGGCAUGGGCGCUACAUAAUUAAAACUGUACACGGGCGAGAAGUAGGGAUAGGGGCGGGGCUUACCACCUUGGGCCGGCCUGGAGGGUGCUGUGGAGUGGAGGUGGCCGACCUGGGCUUGGGUCGGCCUGAUCGGGCGGCCUAUCCUGGGCCUGGCUGCGAGGCCUAGGCGGGAGGAGCGCUGCGCUCGGCGUCGUGCCCCUCGUCAUGCCGAGGGCACGGGACCUGGCGGCGGGGCUGGCGAGAGGAUCCGGCGGGAUCCGGAGUGGCCGGAGCUCUCGGACCCGGCAGCCGCGAUCUGGGCAACGGGAGCGGAGCCCCAUCGAUCUGGACGCUGCGAGGAGGGAUCCAGGGCGGCGGCUGAGGUACGGGCGACGGGAGGCGGCCGGUCGGGCAGCUCGGGCUGGCGUUUGGCAGUUGCAAGUCUCGGGAGCCAAGGCGGCGCGGCUCCCUGGCUGUAGCCGGCGACGAAGGGCACGCGGCGGCCGGCGGCUAGAAGCGCGGGCUCCAGCGGGGACUCGGCGGCUCGGGCUGCUGCGGCUCGAGGGGUUGGCCGGCUGCGCUAGGCACGAGGCUCUAGGCACGGGAGGCAGAACGGGGGCGGCGGCGGCUCGGGCCCGGGGGGGCGGAUCUGGGCCUGUCGGGCCCGCUCGAGGAGAGAGGAGGGUAGGCUGGCGGCUAGGGUUUGGGAAGGCACAGGAAACGAGGAGAGAGGGGGGUUUGGCUGCCUUAAAUAUAGGAGGGGUAUAUAUAGACAAAUGGGGGGCUAGGUUAACCGGAAUUCCGUUCCGGAUCCAACCGCCCGGUCGGAAUCGGACGAUUCCAAACACGGGACGGACUAAGUGGCAGUGUACAGUAGGUAACCGGAGACGAGAGGGGAAACGGGCAACGCGGCAACGAUUUUUCACACACCGAUAACCGUCCGACGGUAGACCGAAUACGGUGCCGUUACAGUCGACCGUUCGGGUACCAGACGAACUCCGAUCGUGACGAAAUUCGACAGGCGGCCUAGCUAUGAUUAAUUACGACCGCAUGCCAAGUUUCACCCCGAUCAGAGAAAGUUUUACGCACACUUUGAAAACAGGGUUUAAACGAUGCCGCGGGCGCGUGCGUGUGAGGUCGGGCUCAGAACGGACAACGACGGGAACCGUCAACUAACUACAGAUGCAACUUUUGAAAACGGGCGGCAACAGAGAUGCCGAUGCAAUGCAGAUGAUGCGAAUGAUGCGAUGAUGAUGCGACAAAAGAAAAUAGACACACGACGAAAACGAAAUAGAAGGGAAAUCUUCUGGAACGUCGGCAUCGGGCUGUCACACCUCCUUAGUCUUUUCUUGAUUCGACGGUAUUGUUGGAUGAAGAAGCCCACACCAAUAUUACUCGUACGCUUACGAGAGACCAGUUUCAUCGACUAACAUGCAACUUGUUGCAUAAAGAUGACUCGCGGGUCUCUGUUUCUCCAACUUUAGUUGAAUCAGAUUUGACCAAGGCGGUCCUUGGAGAAGGUUAAAUAGCAACUUCCAUAUCACCUUGUGGUUUUGUGUAAGUAAGAUGUGAGCAUCCUAGAUACCAAUAGCAGCCACGUAACACAUGCAACAACGUAUUAGAGGACGUUUAAUUUGUUUUUGUAGGGUAUGCAUGUGAUGUGAGAUGGACACAGACAUGAUAUGAUAUAUUUGAUCUAUGAGAUGAUCAUGUUGUAAUAGUUAAAUAUCGACUUGCACGUCGAUGCUACGGCAACCGGCAGGAGCCAUAGGGUUGUCUUUAAUUAUUUUUGCGCCCGGCGAUGCUUUACUUUAUCGCUAGUUCAGUAGCUUUACUAGUAACAGCCUAGGUGGCGCGGCAACCUCGAUGGCAGCACAACGAUGGAGAUCAUGGUGUGGCGCUGGUGACGAUGGAGAUCAUGUCGGUGCUCCAGUGAUGGAUAUUAAGAAGCACAAGUUCAUGGCCAUAUCAUGUCACUUAUGAUUUGCAUGUGAUGUUAAUCCUUUUAUGCACCUUAUUUUGCUUAGGACGACAGUAGCAUUAUAAGGUGAUCCCUCACUAAAAUUUCAAGAUAAAAUUCUGUUAUCCACGAGUGUGCACCGUUGCGACAGUUUGUCAUUUCGAGACACCACGUGAUGAUCGGGUGUGGUAGACUCUACGUUCACAUACAACGGGUGCAAAACAGUUGCACACGCGGAACACUCAACUCACGUGAAGGUAUGAUCAACAUAGAGAUGAUCGGGUGUGGUAGACUUGACGAGCCUAGCAUGUACACACAUGGCCUCGAAACACAAGAGACCGAAAUGUCGAAGAUGAGUCAUAUAGUAGAUAUGAUCAACAUAGAGAUGUUCACCAUUGAAGCUAACUCAACUCACGUGAUGAUCGGACUUGAGUUAGUGAAUUUGGAUCAUGUGUCACCCGAAUGACUAGAGGGAUGUCAAUUUGAGUGGGAGUUCUUAAGUAAUAUGAUUAAUUGAACCUAUUAUCAUGAACAUAGUCAAUAUGUCUUUGCAAAUUAUGUCGUAGCUUGUGUUGUAGCUCCACUGUUUUUGAUAUGUUCCUAGAGAAACUUAGUUGAAAGAUGAUAGUAGCAAUCAUGCGGACUGGGUCCGUAAAACUCAGGAUUGUUCUCAUUGCUGCACAGAAAGCUUAUGUCCUUAAAGCACCGCUCGAUGUGCUACCCCCCGAGCGUCGUCCCUGGAUGUUGCGAACAUCUGACAUACACAUUUUCAUGACUAUGUGAUAGUUCAGUGCGUAAUGCUUAACAGCUUAGAAUUGAGGCGCCCAAGAUGUUUUUGAACGUCACGAAACAUAUAAGAUGUUCCAAGAUCUGAGAUUUGCAUUUCUGGCUCGUGUCCGGGUUGAGAGCUAUGAGACCUCCAACAAGAUUCUUUGUGUACAAAGUAAGAGAGAAAAGCUCAAUCAUUGAGCAUGUGCUUAGAUUAUCUGAGUACUACAAUCUCUUGAAUGAAGUGGGAGUUGAUAUUCCAAAUAAGAUAGUGAUUGACAUAGUUCUCCAAAGUCACUACCACCAAGCUACUGGAGCUCCAAAGAAACCCAAGGUUGAACCUAAACCCGAGACUAAGUGCUUCUGUGAUGAGGGGAACAUUCACUAAAGUGAAACUACCCAAGGUACUUGGUAGAUAAGAAGGUUGGCAAAGUCGACGAAAGUAUAUUAUACGUGAUAUUGAUGUGCACCUUGCUAGUACUCCUAGUAGCACCGGGGUAUUAGAUACCGGUUCAAUUACUAAGUGUUAGUAACUUGAAAUUGUAGCUAAAAAAUAAAUAUAUAAUAGCAAGGGUGAGAUGACGAUGAGUGUUGGAAGUAAUUCCAAGGUUGAUGUGAUCAAUCAUCGCAUGCUCCCUCUACCAUUGGGAUUAAUGUUGAACCUAAAUAAUUGUUAUUUGGUGUUUGCGUUGAGCAUAGACAUGAUUAGAUUGUCUUUAUUGCAAUAAGGUUAUUCAUUUAAAGAGAAUAAUAGUUACUCUGUUUACUUGAAUAAUACCUUCAACGGUCUUGCACCUAAAAUGAAUGGUUUAUUGAAUCUCGAUCGUAAUGAUACACAUGCUCAUAAUAUUUAUUCCAAAAGAUACAAAGUAGUAAUGAUAGUACCACUUACUUGUGGCAUUGCUUCUUGAGUCAUAUUGGUGCAAAACGCAUGAAGAAGCUCCAUGUUGGUGGAUCUUUGGACUCACUCGUUUUUGAAACAUUUGAGACAUGUGAACCAUGCAUAUUGGUAUAAACGCAUGAAGAAACCCCAUGCACAUGGAGUGUCUAGGCUCACUUGAUUUCAAAUCACUUGAGACAUGCCAAUCAUGCCACAUGGGCAAGAUGACUGAAGGCCUCGUGUUCAGUGAGAUGGAACGAGUAAGUGACUUGUUGGAAAUAAUACAUUUUGAUAUAUGCAGUCCAAUGAGUGCUCAGACACGCAGUGGAUAUUGUUAUGUUAUUACUUCACUGAUGAUUUGAAUACAUACUAGUGUAUUUGCUUGAUGAAUUACAAGUCUGAAAUAUUGAAAAGUUCAAGCAAUUUCAGAGUGAAUUUGAAUAUCGUCAUGACAAGAGGGUAAUAUGUCUAUGAUGUGGUUGUGGAGGUAAAUAUCUACUAAGUUGCGAGUUUGGUAAACAUUUAAGACAUUGUGAAAAUUGUUUCACAACUCAUGCCACCAGGAACACCAUAGAGUGAUGGUGUGUCCGAACGUCAUAGCCGCUCCCUAUUGGAUAUGGUGCAUACUAUGAUGUCUCUUAUAGAAUUGCCACUGUCGUUUUUGGGUUAGGCAUUAGAGACAACCGCAUUCAAUUCCAAUAGGGCACCAGGUAAUUCCGUUGAGAUGACACCAUAUGAACUAUGGUUUGGAGAAACCUAAGCUAUCGUUUCUUAAAAGUUUGGGGCUGCGGCGCUUAUGUGAAAAAGUUUUCAGCCUCAUAAGUUCGAACCCAAAGCGGAUAAAUGCGUCUUUAUAGGACACCCAAAACAGUUGGAUAUACCUCCUAUCACAGAACUGAAAGCAAAGUGUUUGUUUCAAGAAACGGGUCCUUUCUCGAGAAAAAGUUUCACUCAAAACAAUUGAGUGGGAGGAUGGUGGAAACUUGAUGAGGUUAUUGAACUGUCACUUCAACCAAUGAGAAACAAGGGCGCAGGAAAAUAUUCCUGUGUCACCUACACUAGUUGAAGUGGAUAGCUGAUGAUGGUGAUCAUAAAGCUUUGGAUCAAGUUACUACCAAACCUCAUAGGUCAACAAGGAAAUGUACUGCACCAGAGUAGUACGGUAAUCCUAUCUUGGAGGUCAUGGUGUUGGUCAACAAUGUACCUACGAGCUAUGGAGAAGGGAUGGUGGGCCCUGGUUCCGACAAAUGGCUGAAGGCCCUGAAAUCCCAGAUAGGAUCCAUGUAUGAAAACAAGUGUAGACUUUGGAAGAACUACUUUAUGGUCAUAAGGCUAUUAAGUAUAAGUGGAUCCUUAAAAGGAAGAUGGACGAUGAUGGUAAAUGUCACAACUAAGAAAGCUCGACUUGUCGCAAAGAUGUUCCCGACAAGUUCAAGGAGUUGACUACGAUGAAACAUUCUCACCCGUAGCGAUCAAAGAAGGAGUUGUUGGCUGUGUUGUAAGGUGAGAAUAUUGGGUAAGACUCAAAGCCCGACCACGAUAGAAGAAUGAGAAAGGACGAAGGACGUCCCCUAUGCAUUAGCCGUAGGCUCUAAAGUAUGUUAUGUUGUGUACCACACCUGAUGUGUGCCUUGGCAUGAAUCUGUCAAGGGGUACAAAAGUGAUCCAGGAAUGGAUUAAUAGACAACGAUCAAAAGUUAUCCUUAGUAACUAGUGGACUAAGGAAUUUUUCUCGAUUAUGGAGGUGAUAAAAGAGUUUGUUGUAAAGGGUUACGUCGAUGCAAGCUUUGACACUUAUCUAGAUGACUUUGAGUAGUAAACCGGAUUCGUAUAGUGGAUCGAUCAUUUGGAAUAGUUUUAAAUGGCAUGUGGUACCAGCAUCUACAAGAUGACAUAGAGAUUUGUAAAGCACACAUGAAUCAAAAAAGUUUAGACCCGUUGACUAAAAACCUCUCUCACAAGCAAGACAUGAUCAAACCCCAGAAUUGUAUGGCUGUUAGAUUCAUUACUAUCACAUAGUGAUGUGAACUAGAUUAUUGACUCUAGUGCAAGUGGGAGACUGUUAGAAAUAUGCCAUAGAGACAAUAAUAAAUUAGAUAUUAUUAUAUUUGCUUGUUCAAGAUAAUCGUUUAUUAUCCAUGCUAAAAUUGUAUUGAAUGGAAAAUCAUAUACAUGUAUGGAUACAUAGACAACACACUGUCCCUAGUAAGCCUCUAGUUGACUAGCUUGUUGAUCAAAGAUGGUUAAGGUUUCAGAGCCAUAGAUAAGUGUUGUCACUUGAUAAUGGGAUCAUAUCAUUAGGAGAAUGAUGUGAUCGACAAGACCCAAACUAUUAACCUAGUAUGUGAUCGUGUUAUUUUAUUGCUACUAUUUUCUACAUGUCAAGUAUAUAUUCCUUUGACCAUGAGAUCAUGUAACUCACUGACACCGGAGGAAUGCCUUCUGUGUAUCAAACAUUGCAACAUAACUGGGUGACUAUAAAGGUGCUCUUAAGGUAUCUCCAAAGGUGUCCAUUGAGUUAGCAUGGAUCAAGAUUGGGAUUUGUCACUCUGUAUGACGGAGAUUUAUCUCGGGGCCCACUCGGUAAUACAACAUCACAACAAGCCUUGCAAGCAAUGUGACUAAAGAGUUAGCCACGGGAUUUUGUAUUACGGAAUGAGUAAAUAGACUUGCCUGUAACGAGAUUCGAAUAGAUAUAGAGAUACCGAUGAUCGAAUCUCGGGCAAGUAACAUACUGAAGGAAUAAAGGGAAUGCUAUAUGGGAUUAACUGAAUCCUUGACAUAGAGGUUCAAAAGAUAAACAUCUUUGUAGUAUAUUUAGGAGCCAAUAUGGACAUCCAGGUCCAGCUAUUGGUUAUUCACCAGAGAGUGUCUCAGGUCAUGUCUACAUAGUUCUCGAACCCGCGGGGUCUGCACACUUAAGGUUCGUUGACGUUUCAAUAUUAUUGAGUUAUGUGUGUUGGUAACUGAAAGUUGUUCGAAGUCCCGGAUGAGAUCCCGGAUGUCAUGAUGAGCUCGAGAUUGGUACGGAGGUAAAGAUUGAUAUAUAGGAAGUCCCAUUUUGGUCACCGAAAAAGUUUCGGUUAUUUUUUGUAGUGUACCAGGAAUGCUCGGAGGGCCAUCGGGAGGGGUCACCCAUGCCGGGAGGCCAUGUGGGCCUUUGGGGUGGCGCACCAGCCCUUAGUGGGCUUGUCGAGCCAGCCCCAUGGGGCCCAUGUGUCCAACAGUUGGGGGAAGGGAAAAACCCCAAAGGAGGGGAGGUUUCCAAGUAGGAGAGGAAUCCUACUUGGAGUAGGAUUGGAGGUGGACUCUUCGACGUCCUCCUAUUCGGACGAACUAAGGGAGGGACUUUUGGCCUCCUUCCCUCCCUCCCUCCUAUGUAUACUAGAGGAUUUGAGGGCAGCCCUAACCCUAAUAAGCCACGUGUUGCCCUCUCUCUCUCUAGGUCGUUUUCUCCUCUAGAUUAGUUCAGGAGAGCUUAGCGAAUCCCUGCUAGAUUAGUUCACCACCACCACCAGCACGCCGUCGUGCUGGAGAACUCAUCUACCUCUCCGCCCCUCUUGCUAGAUAAGGAAGUCAGAGAUCGUCAUCGGCAUGUACGUGUGCUGAACGCGGAGGUGCCAUCUGUUAGGCACUAGAUCGGGGAGAAUCAUGAUGAGAUCACAGGAAAGAUCAUGAUGAGAUCGUGAUGGAUUGCGGGAUGUAUCAUGAUUGGACCACGAAGACAUACGACAACAUCAAUCGCGUUAUAUACGCUUGCGCUUAGCAAUCUACAAGGGUUUGUAGAUGUACUCUCCCCUCUCGUAGAUGGUCAUCACCAUGGAUAGAUCUUGUGUCCGCGUAGGAAAUUUUUUGUAUCCCAUGCAAUGUUCCCAAACCCCCCCCCCAUCUUCGGCACCAUCAGUACUAGUUUCUCCACAAAGGGAAACUGCUACGUCGCACCCGGAGCCGUCCAUAACGAAGCAUAUCUGAACUAGGUGGUCGGCCAUGAGGGAGGAGGGUCCUAAUUACAACGGUGUGAAAGAUGCCUUCGGCGUACUGCUCGCAGGUAUCAAGGUAAUCCAUGCACUCUUUUUCCUUCACAAAGUAAUUGUUUUUCCUAUUAUCUAUAAGCAACAUUUUACUCAGUAUCCCCUGCGCACUGUGUGAGUUAGGAAAAACUCAUGCGAGGGUCGGAAUAGUUAAGGAAGAAAAGUUGCAUCUGGCCCCCAAGACUAUGGUAGGAUGAUCAAACCCACCCUACCAGAGGAUUUCGAAAAAGUUUAAGAACUAUGAGAGUCUAAAAAUACUUAUCUGCACGCUUCCACCUCGGUCGCAGCCCCCAACUCCAUGGUGUUAGCAGAAAUGAACCGGAAAUUGAAGGUUUUCGAGGAAGAGCUCGGCCGCAACAACAAGCGGUUUGAGGACGCACAAGGUAAGCAUUCAAACUUUAGUUUUCUCAUGAAAGUGAAGUUUUAAUAGUUUUGUCUCUAAGUACAAUUAUUUUCGUGACCAUCAUAGUUGUUCCUGCUGAUGUCGAGCAGCUCAAAACCGAACUGGACAAGGCCAAGUAGGAAGCUGGUGAAGAAAGGGCGGUGGUCGAACAUGCCAAGUCUGCUAAUGAGAGGUCUGAUGACAGGGUUAAUGAGGUACAACAAGAGCUAAAGGAAGUUGUCACGAAAAAUGAGGCACUUCAGGAGAAGAAUAAAGAAAAAUCUACCAACCUGACCUUGGUGACUACUGCACUCCAAGAAGUGCAAAAGGUAGCACAGAGUCAUCGGAUGGAGAUCCAUCACAUCAAGAAAAUUGCAGAUGUUAAGAGAUAUUUACUAAAGUGUAUAUGGGGCGGAAAAAGAUUUGCAUUGCUUACUCGAGUGUGGAGUUCUCCACGUGCGAUUGAGGAUCUCUCGAAGAGUGCAACGGACGCUUUGAAGCACUAUGCAUCCCAGGAGGGUGAGGCCCAGUAAUGGCUCUUCUGGGCACAAUUUCAAGCCCCUCAGCAACCCCUUCUGUUCUCUGAUUAGUUGAAAUAAUUGAUGGAAAUUGCACAAGAUGAUAGAGCCGGCGAUGAAGGAUCUUUGCAUCACGCUUUGGCCGAUAGAGUCGCUGCCCAGCAACUAUUUUGGCCUAGUGCAGAAGUUGGUUGUUGUUGCGCCCCAGAUUGAUAUCAUGAAGCGCUUUGUGCUCAUCGAGGGCGCUCGGAACAAUGAUGCAUUGGACAAAAGUGGAGCCCUUCAAGAUGGCUACUGCCCCUCCGCCGCCUCGAAAGGAGCAUAGAUGCCCAAAGUUGUACUUCUCCACUACUAUGGAAGGUGCUCGCGCUGUAGAAGCGUAGUGCUCCAAAACUUAAUCUUUGAAUGAAAAACCAUUAUCCUGUAAAAGUUUUUGUAUGAUACAAUGCCAUUUUACUUUUGCAUGGUAUACCAUGUCUUUUUGUUUUUAUUACAACUCAUGUGUGGUUAUUUUUAAUCCUGAAAGGUUCCAGUUGUCGGCUUCAGCCCCUUGACAGAUACUGCCAAGGGUCUUUUCGGACUCUACAUUGUAUACCCUUCACCAACGUCUUGGUACCCUAAGGCGGUAAUGCGAGAGAAAACCAGGCAAUCGACUGUGUGGCUUUAAGUCUUUCACUUAUGUAACGUCCAAGAUGCGGCACUAUCCAUAUUUGGGGACGAGGCCUCAAAUAUGGAUAGAGGGGCAUCGUAACAUUUUGCAAGUAUAGAAAUCAUCACAAUACAUUUAGGAAAGAUGAGUAUAUGGAUGUCAUACAUCCAUAAGUUAAGUUACAAGCCACACAACUUUAUUUCAACCAUCCAUAAGACAAAGUCUGGCUACGGACAAGAUAAACGGUAAAUUUAAUGAAUCUGCCUCGCUAGCCCAGUAGACGACCAAGGUCCUCUAUUCGUCGGGGUAUGUCACUUACAUGCGGCCACUUCCUUCAGGAAACUCCCACCGAAGAUGCAUAGCAUUAAACUCUUUUGCAUCUGCGGUACCUAGACCUGUGGUGUUGUAGUAAUCUGUGACCCAUAGGGAGUCAACAAUCUUGCGACCAUGAUACCGGAACUAAUCAAGUUAUUGGGUGUGGAAGGGUAAGUGUUGAGGUUGCAGCAGCAGUAAGCAUAUAUUGUGGCUAACUUACAAGAAUAUAAUGUAAGGUGAGUGGUCUACGCAUGACGGUCGUGAGCUACAUAAUGAUCACUAAGUGACCCUGAACACCUACUUACGACAGUCCUAACCCCACUGUGUCCAGAGUCAAAGAAGGAGCUCGUGAAAGAUACCCUCAUAGUUACACACACAGUUGGCAUAUUUUAGUUAAGUUUACUUGAAGUUAUCUAGAACCGAAUGUUAAAUAAACUUUCCAAGUUGCCACAUAACCGCAGGCACGGCUUUCAGAAAGAUAUUAACCCUCUAGGUAUGCUCCAACUAGUCCAUCACAAACUAUCACAAGCUGCUCUGGAGAGAAAAAACCUCAACCUCGAGAAAGCAUGAAGUAUCACCGAUAUCCCAGUGAACAAGACAUUCGAUAAAAGUAAGACAAAUCUAGAAAGACCGCCCGACACGCCAGAUCCCAAUAGGAGUCGUGUGUAUAUCUCUCUUAGGGCACUACCGGAUGGGCCACACUACGAGUUAAACCAAACCUUGACUUGCCCCGUGGUGGCCUCGCGGUCUUCCCAUUUGGACCAAAACUCACGAGGAUAGCCCGGGUUGUUGAUUAAUUCUCCGUGGGUAGCUAUUCCCUAUGCUUUUUAUUAAGUUGUUUACCAAAUGUAGUACCAAUGUUGGGCCUUGCUAGAAGAGUCUUAACUUAAAACGAAUUAUCAAGGGGGUCGCAUAACAACCCCAAGAGUGUUAGGAGCACUCAAUAUGGAACAUAACACCGGUAACCAAAACUAGGGCGGAAAAAGUGGACAAAAACACCGAGAAAAAGGCCAAGCCUUCUGCCUUUUACCAAGUAUAUAGGUGCAUAAAAUUAAAAAGCAGUAUAAGAUGAUAUUUAAAAUGUCCAUGUUGGCACAUGGAUCAGCCUGCACCUGCAACUAGCAAUGCUAUAAGAGGGUUGAGCAAGCGCUAUCUUAGCCAAUCAAUGUUUGCUAGCUUGUGGAGGGGUUAGAGGAUUUUCAUGGAAAUGUUUGUAGGCUAUGUAUUUAGGUGGUAGGCAAGAAUAAAUAGCAAAGGAAACGAGUCAUCUAAGCACAAGGAAAUUAGAAACGAUACCAAGGUCACGGUCAUCUUGCGUGAUGCUUCUUAUGACGGUUACAACUCUUGCUCCUCAGUAGCGUACUCAACGGGAUCCUCGCACUCGUUCUCAGCUCCUGAUACUACCCAAAGAAAAUACACAUCCAAUGAACACAAAGCAAGGUGCAAUGCUUCAAAUAACAUGAUGCAUGAGUGUGGUUAUGAAAGGAGCAUGGCAAUGCUAACUAGUCAUCUUUCUCAUGCAUUUAUUAAGUUGUUUAGCAUUAUGGACAUAACCUCAAGUUUAUAAAUUUGGUCAUGCAUGAACAUGGCAGAAAUGAAUGCAUCAUGAGAGAAAGGUGCAAAAACAUAUAAGGAACGUCACAAAUAGAGCUACUGAUCUCUCGAAAUUCACAAAACAAGAUACGGAAGGCAACAAUGACUAAACAACAUUUGAGAGAGAGCUAUGGGCAAUUUCUUGGCACUCCAAGUAUGCCACUCGAUUGGGCACGAAACUCUAGGUGAAAUAGACCAAAAUAUCAUGCAAAUAAAAGGAGCACAAUUCAGAAAACGCACAAAACAAAUUUUGCAACCAAUUUGUCCACAAACAGCAGCAUACCACUUUGUUCACAUGGAAACUAGUAGCUACAGCCACUCAACAAGUUCAAUCGAUACUUGUAUAUGAAGCUAUGAAGGAGCAAAAUAAUUCCUAACUAAUAGCAACAUGGAUAGGUUCAUGAAACAAUGGCAAUCCAGCCGCUAACAUGGCAAGAAUAUCGUAGAUUAGGAGUAAGUGAAAAUCUCAGUUUCAAGCUUGCAGCUUUUAACCGGAUGGCAUGUUGACAGCAAUAAACACUACUCUACAGGAAAUUUCAUGGCAUGAAAUUUAACAGGAUGAUAGAGGGCAACAACUACUACAAAUCACUCACUAAGCAUGAGCUAUAACUGCACAGAGUUCAUGGUAACAUCCCCUAAACAUGGCAUAAAAAUAACAGCAGGUUCACACACUUAGUCAAAUUUCACAAAAGGGAAUCACAACAAUUUACAACAUCAUAGCAUAUUUUACAGGAAUAAUAACUAAGAUGCAAAACCUUUUUGGCAAGGUGAUGGCACCAUUUGACAGAGGGCAACAAGCACUAUAAUUUAUGGCAUUGGACCAACCACAAAGGAUCAACACAUUCAUAGGAAUCAUCAAGACAACAUGGGAAGAAAAUAAUAGGUUCAACACUUCGAAAUAUUUGAGCAUGUGAAAAUAACUAUAUUAUCUUAGCAUGUUGUCAACAAGAAACCCACAAAUCCACAAGCUUAACAUGGCAAAGAAAUUAGCAUGGCCUGGUACCCUGAAAACACUACCACAUUCAUGUUGACAAGUAUACCAAAUAGUGCACGGAUGAAUUCAUGCAUAAUUAACAAAAUGUCAUCAUAUCACAAAAUGACAUUUUCACAAAGUUGCUCCAAUGUCUAAACUAAUGGCACCACUGGAUUCCUGGGAUUUUUCUAACCCAAAAUCAUACUCCAUCUGUACCAUAAUACAUGAUGUUUUAGCAGUUCAUUUGAGCUGCUAAAACAUCAUAUAUUAUGGUAUAGAGGUAGUAUAUCACACUCAUAUGUUCUUGUAGAGAAAACUCCCACAAAUUGCAAAUUGAAAAUGACAAGGGUAACUUACAACAUAGUACUCCCUCCGUAAACUAAUAUAAGAGCGUUUAGAUCACUAUUUUAGUUAUAUAAACACUCUUAUAUUAGUUCAUGCCAAAUGGGGCAUAUCCCUAAAUGGCAACUUCUAGAUCUCGACAUGGACAGAUCUGACACUUUUCCUAAAUGGAAAAAUCUGAAAACAAAGAAUAUAAGCACUAAAAAAAGGGGGGGCACUUGGUAGUGUCACUAAACCAUGUGUGCAUGACAUGCGGACCCUCGGACCCGCUGUGAGUGUCCUAGGAAAAUAAUGAAAAAGGGUGUGCCAAGGGGGUUUCAAACACAAGACCUCACGGUUAGGGAGCAUGGGACUGACCAAAGGACUAGGGUGCGGCUUGUGCUCAAAGAGGGCCUCUGAUCCUAUUGAACAAUAUACGACAUUGAGCUUAAAGUAUAACGAAUCUGAAACAAGUUUAGAGAACAUGCCAAAAGAAAAGAAAAUAGAAGACAUCGAACCUAGGAUCUCAUGUGUUAAGGAGCAAGUGGUAGCCGCUGCGUCACUACUAUGCACGUCCAAAGGGAAGGGUGAGAUGCGAGGUGAACUAACACCAAGUCCGGGCCUUCUUGUGCGAGAACCCCGGUGGAACUCAUGGACGGCGCCGGUGAGUGAGACGGCAACGACGACGGCUGUGGACUAAUGGCGGUGCUGUCGUACGAGCAAGAGGAUCGGUUCACGACUGCGGCAUGGCUGCAUGGGCGCAAGAGGAAAGAAUAUGCAUGCAAAAAAAUAGUACGCGACUACGCGUACACUGCUCUAUGACCGGCGCACCAAGGACACGAUCUUGACAUGGAUGGAACGAAUCGCACACGAUGCUAAAAACGAUGCGGACGAGGGCAAUGGAAGGAGGGUUUACCUCUGCUACCUAGGACAUGGAGCGAUGGUCUGGGGCAUGAUGCACUGACAGCAGUGAGUCAACGAACACCGGCGUGUCCGUGGACCAAGAAGAAGAAAAAGAAGAGCUUGUGAACAGCGUCGAUCUGGCCUUGGAGUCGUACGCGUCGUCAAGGAAGAAAAGGUGUGAUGGGCACGUCCUUCCUACGGCACCAGAGGACCGGAGGCGCGACGCAGAGGCUACACUGAGCUCAAGGGCGAGCUCGCUCGGUUAUGGCGUAGAGGAGACAGCUAUGGCAUGGGCGGCUUACCUGAGUGGCAGCGGGCAGAGGAGAGGGGAGGAAUCGGUCGAGGGAGGCUAGGUCUAGGUCUAGGGCAUGAUAGAUAGGCGGCUAGGAGCUUCUCC
rnacentral:lncRNA from 1 species